UCUGUCUAAUAUAUUUAAUGAAUGUGUGUGACGUGUUUAGUCUCGCUGAUUGUCCAUGAAUGCGCAGAAAGUACCGCGUCACGCUAAUAGGGGGCAGUGCUGAGCCCAUGAGAACAACAGGUAACAGGUGAGUGUUGCUGUGUGUUCUUCUUCUACCCAGAGGCUCUGCUUUGCUUUCCAUGCUCUUUUAUUUUCAAAAUAUGAGCAUGUCUGGACUAACGCGAGAUAUUCUGACAUCAUUUAAGGAGUGUCAGCAAACAGAAUGGAUCAGCUCCUCACAGUCAAAGUCAGACAUGUAUGAUCCACUUCUCUCCUGGCUGCCACUAACCAGGCCUGCUGUCUCUCAUCGACUUGGCGAUGAAUGAGCCGCUCUGAACAUCACCGCCACGGUGAAGGAGAGCCUGAUGAUAUUAAAAAGACCUGAUUAAUGCGACCUGCGUCCAUGGGCUUCAUCUAAAUACAGCUGGCAGUUAUCUGGAGUAUCCAGAAAUUGUGAAAACGUCGGCAGCCUUUUCAGCCCAUGUCAAUGCAGCCUGAACUAAGGAUCGGUCCGCUACCAGCACUCAGAGUGAAAUGCAGUGUGCUGUGCAGUGCAGACCAGCUACGGUUCCUGAACUUGCUGGCAGGAUGGGAACAACCUCGGAGAAAGUUGGAAGCUGGACCCUGGUAGAAUGACAACAAUUUUGGCUGAUAGGAAUCACCAUUGAGAAGAACCAGUGAGACUUUAAGGCAGACAG